UGGGGAAUAUUGGGCAAUGGGGGGAACCCUGACCCAGCGACGCCGCGUGGGUGAAGAAAUCCUUCGGGAUGUAAAGCCCUGUUGUAUGGGAAGAGCGGAAGACGGUACCAUACGAGGAAGCCCCGGCAAACUACGUGCCAGCAGCCGCGGUAAUACGUAGGGGGCAAGCGUUGUCCGGAAUUACUGGGCGUAAAGCGCACGCAGGCUGAAUUAUAAGUCGGUAGCAAAAGGCGGGGGCUCAACUUCCGUAUAUCUAUCGAUACUGUAAAUCUAGAGUAUGUGAGAGGGAAGCGGAAUUCCCGGUGUAGCGGUGAAAUGCGUAAAUAUCGGGAGGAACACCAGUGGCGAAGGCGGCUUCCUGGCACAAUACUGACGCUCAUGUGCGAAAGCUAGGGCAGCGAACGG
rnacentral:rRNA from 1 species